CUCUAGCCUCCAAAGCUCAAAUGAUCUCGAAAAACUAACCCUAAUCUCUAAUAUGCCCUCAGGCAGCCUCCUUAAAGUCCAUUGGUCAUGAUUUUUGACCAAUAGGAAUGGAGAUUUUCAUCAUCUAUCUCCAUUCAUCCAUAUGGAUGCCUUAACUUCUCUUUUUUGCUACCAAGACCCUUCUCCAAUCCUUUUUUUUAUAAGAUUUACAUAAUAUAUGCCCUAAACUCCAAAUAAAAGAAACAAAAUAAGACUUCAAAGAUUACCAAUGUCUAAUAAAGGUGAUUUUAAAUAUUUAAAGUUAAUACCAACAUAAUCAAUCUCAAAAGCCACUAUCAAAAGAAAAUAAAGUUAUAAAAAUUCUAAUAGUAAUUCUUUUAAACAACCUCUUUUUAAAGUAGUAAUUUAACCACACUCUACAACCGACUAAAAUCAAUUAACAUGGCUCUCACCAUAUUGCUAAGUAAUUCAUACAUUAAAUACAUAAUCAUAUUAUUUUCACAUGGUAGCCAAACCACAAUACGACAAUGGACUUAUCAAAUGAGAUAUUAUAAUUUUCACAACCUUCAAGAUGAUAAAAUAGAGAUGAAGAUCAUCAAGAACGAUGUCAUAUUGUAAUUGUUUAUAAUAUAUAAAAAUUAAUUAAGACAUAUAAUAUGUUUGUAAGUCU
rnacentral:lncRNA from 1 species